UACGAAGGGUGCAAGCGUUACUCGGAAUUACUGGGCGUAAAGCGUGCGCAGGCGGUUUCUUAAGUCAGAUGUGAAAUCCCCGGGCUUAACCUGGGAACUGCGUUUGAAACUGGGAGACUUGAGUGUGGCAGAGGGGGGUGGAAUUCCACGUGUAGCAGUGAAAUGCGUAGAUAUGUGGAGGAACACCAAUGGCGAAGGCAGCCCCCUGGGUCAACACUGACGCUCAUGCACGAAAGCGUGGGGAGCAAACAGG
rnacentral:rRNA from 1 species